rnacentral:miRNA from 1 species
CGGCACUUAUUAUGGAUCAGA